AGCGAACGCUGGCGGCAGGCCUAACACAUGCAAGUCGAACGAACCUUUCGGGGUUAUUGGCGGACGGGUGAGUAACACGUGGGAACGUGCCUUUAGGUUCGGAAUAACUCAGGGAAACUUGUGCUAAUACCGAAUGUGCCCUUCGGGGGAAAGAUUAAUCGCCUUUAGAGCGGCCGGCGUCUGAUUAGCUAGUUGGUUGAGGUAAUGGCACACCAAGGCGACGUUCAGUAGCUGGUCUGAGAGGAUGAUCAGCCACAUUGGGACUGAGACACGGCCCAAACUCCUACGGGAGGCAGCAGUGGGGAAUCUUGCGCAAUGGGCGAAAGCAUGACGCAGCCAUGCCGCGUGAAUGAUGAAGGUCUUAGGAUUGUAAAAUUCUUUCACCGGGGACGAUAAUGACGGUACCCGGAGAAGAAGCCCCGGCUAACUUCGUG
rnacentral:rRNA from 1 species